rnacentral:rRNA from 1 species
GACGAACGCUGGCGGCGUGCUUAACACAUGCAAGUCGAACGGAAAGGCCCUGCUUUUGUGGGGUGCUCGAGUGGCGAACGGGUGAGUAACACGUGAGUAACCUGCCCUUGACUUUGGGAUAACUUCAGGAAACUGGGGCUAAUACCGGAUAGGAGCUCCUGCUGCAUGGUGGGGGUUGGAAAGUUUCGGCGGUUGGGGAUGGACUCGCGGCUUAUCAGCUUGUUGGUGGGGUAGUGGCUUACCAAGGCUUUGACGGGUAGCCGGCCUGAGAGGGUGACCGGCCACAUUGGGACUGAGAUACGGCCCAGACUCCUACGGGAGGCAGCAGUGGGGAAUAUUGCACAAUGGGCGGAAGCCUGAUGCAGCAACGCCGCGUGCGGGAUGACGGCCUUCGGGUUGUAAACCGCUUUCGCCUGUGACGAAGCGUGAGUGACGGUAAUGGGUAAAGAAGCACCGGCUAACUACGUGCCAGCAGCCGCGGUGAUACGUAGGGUGCGAGCGUUGUCCGGAUUUAUUGGGCGUAAAGGGCUCGUAGGUGGUUGAUCGCGUCGGAAGUGUAAUCUUGGGGCUUAACCCUGAGCGUGCUUUCGAUACGGGUUGACUUGAGGAAGGUAGGGGAGAAUGGAAUUCCUGGUGGAGCGGUGGAAUGCGCAGAUAUCAGGAGGAACACCAGUGGCGAAGGCGGUUCUCUGGGCCUUUCCUGACGCUGAGGAGCGAAAGCGUGGGGAGCGAACAGGCUUAGAUACCCUGGUAGUCCACGCUGUAAACGGUGGGUACUAGGUGUGGGGUCCAUUCCACGGGUUCCGUGCCGUAGCUAACGCUUUAAGUACCCCGCCUGGGGAGUACGGCCGCGAGGCUAAAACUCAAAGGAAUUGACGGGGCCCCGCACAAGCGGCGGAGCAUGCGGAUUAAUUCGAUGCAACGCGUAGAACUUUACCUGGGUUUGACAUGGAUCGGGAGUGCUCAGAGAUGGGUGUGCCUCUUUUGGGGUCGGUUCACAGGUGGUGCAUGCCUGUCGUCAGCUCGUGUCGUGAGAUGUUGGGUUAAGUCCCGCAACGAGCGCAACCCUUGUUCACUGUUGCCAGCACGUUAUGGUGGGGACUCAGUGGAGACCGCCGGGGUCAACUCGGAGGAAGGUGGGGAUGACGUCAAGUCCUCAUGCCCCUUAUGUCCAGGGCUUCACGCAUGCUACAAUGGCUGGUACAGAGAGUGGCGAGCCUGUGAGGGUGAGCGAAUCUCGGAAAGCCGGUCUCAGUUCGGAUUGGGGUCUGCAACUCGACCUCAUGAAGUCGGAGUCGCUAGUAAUCGCAGAUCAGCAACGCUGCGGUGAAUACGUUCCCGGGGCU